rnacentral:rRNA from 1 species
AUUCCAGCUCCGAGAGCGUACUUAAUCAUUGUUGCAGUUAAAAGGUUCGUAGUCGAAUAUCUGUAAGAGUUAGUACUGGUUAGCCCACACAGACUCUUGCAUCCGCAGUGGAGUCAGUAUGGGUAUUAAUUUAUUGGACUGUCAGAAACUGCAUUUUACUUUGAAAAAAUUAGAGUGUUCAAAGCAAGCAAUGCUUGAAUUUAUCAGCAUGGAAUAAUUGAAUAUGGUAAACUGAAUAAAUCGAUUGGUUCAGUUACAAUGAUUAACAGGGACAGUUGGGGGCAUUCGUAUUCAGCAGCAAGGGGUGAAAUCCGUGGAUUUGCUGAAGACGGACUGAUGCGAAAGCGUUUGCCAAGGAUGUUUUCAUCG